AUGCACGAUAUUGUGCAUGAUCUUGCAGAACAUGUAUCAACAAAGAGCAACGAAUCAAAUGAGUUUCGAUAUGUGGCACAGAUUUCUACCUCAAUGCUACAAGAGAUUCCAAAAAGAGGUGUACAUAAAUUGCGCUCAAUUUUUUGGAAUGGUGAAGUUCUCGGUGACAUCUUAUCAAGAUUUAAAGGCUUACGUGUGUUAAAAUUAUACAGGGCUGAUAUCAAUGAGUUGCCAAUGUCAAUUGGGAAGUUGAAACACUUGAGGUAUCUAGAUAUUUCCAGAACAAGAAUCAGGAUGCUCCCCAAAUCUAUCGGCAAGCUUUAUAAUCUACUGACAUUAAGGAUGUUCGGAGUUAAAGUUGAAAAGUUUCCAAAGGAGCUGCUUAAUCUGAUCAAUUUGAGACAUUUUUAUUUUAAAAGAGAUGAUGAGAUAUAUCCAGUUGGGGUUGGGCAAUUGACUAAUCUCCGAUCAUUAUGCUUUUUCAUUGUGGGUAAGGGGAGAGGUCGUGGAAUAGAGGAGCUGGCUGGCUUAAAGCAAUUGAAAGGCAAAUUAUCCAUUCAUAAUCUAGAGAAUGUGAGAGAUGGAGAAGAAGCAAAGAAAGCCAAAUUAGUGGAGAAGACAAACAUAAACAGAUUAUUCCUUGAAUGGGGUGGAGACAGGUCACGGAUCAAAAUUAAUGAUGAGGAUGUACUAGAAGGCCUUCAACUACCAUGCACUAAACUGGAAUAUUUAGAGAUUCGCAACUUUAUGGGUGAGAAAUUUGCAUCGUGGAUGAUUGGGAGUCCCUUUCCUGCAUUGAAAAGAUUAAGAAUCCAUGACGCCAAGAACCUAAUUGAAUGGAUGGAAGCUGCAGAAAACAUUGUUCUGUUUCCAUGCCUCGAUGAGCUGUUUAUGACGAAUUGUGAUAAAUUGAGAAGUGCUCCAAGUCAUUUUCCAUCUCUUAGAAAGUUAGAGAUAUAUUCCAUGGAUAGCAGCAUGCCAAUAGCAAAUAUAAGUAGCAACCUGGCCACUCUUACUUCUCUCUCACUAAAGAAGAUAAAGGGACUGGAUUGUCUGCCAGAUGGGUUGUUAAAAAACAACAAGAAUCUUGCAUACUUGAAGAUAGAGGAAUGUCCGGACUUGAGUUCUAUUACUAUGGAUGAUGUAUUUGGGUGUUGCCCUUCCCUUAAAUCCGUGCAUAUUUCUGAUUGCCCUAAACUUAGGUGUCUGCCAGAUGGGCUACAAACUCUUGUCUCUCUUAAGGAGUUGGAUAUACGGAGGUGCAGUAGUCUAGAGCUCAUUCCAGAAAUGCACGGUCCCACUUAUCUCUCCAGAUUGUAUAUUAUGGAUUGUCCUCAGCUAUCCAGACUACCUAAUGGACUUGAAUAUUGCACUUCCCUUAAGUCUCUACAUAUUUCUGAUUUCCCUAAACUUUGGAGUCUACCUGAUGGGCUACAAGCUCUUGUCUCUCUUGAGGAGUUGCAUAUACAGAGGUGCAGUAAUCUAGAGCUCAUUCUAGAUAUGCACGGUCCCACUUGUCUCUCCAAAUUGUAUAUUAUGGAAUGUCCUCAGCUAUCCAGACUACCUAAUGGACUUGAAUAUUGCACUUUCCUUAAGUUCGUGCGUAUUUCUGAUUGCCCUAAACUUAGGAGUUUGCCUGAUGGGCUACAAACCCUUGUCUCUCUUGAGGAGUUGGAUAUACAGAGGUGCAGUAGUCUAGAGCUCAUUCCAGAUAUGCACGGUCACAAUUGUCUCUCCAAAUUGCAUAUUAUGGACUGUCCUCAGCUAUCUAGACUACCUAAUGGACUUGAAUACUGCACUUCCCUUAAGUCUCUGCAUAUUUCUAAUUUCCCUAAACUUAAGAGUCUACCUGAUGGGCUACAAACUCUUGUCUCUCUUAAGGAGUUGCAUAUAUGGAGGUGCAGUAGUCUAGAGCUCAUUCCAGAUAUGCACGGUCCCACUUGUCUCUCCAAAUUGUAUAUUAUGGAUUGUCCUCAGCUAUCCAGACUGCCUAAUGGACUUGAAUACUGCACUUCCCUUAAGUCUCUGCAUAUUUCUGAUUUCCCUAAACUUAGGAGUCUACCUGAUGGGCUACAAACUCUUGUCUCUCUUGAGGAGUUGCAUAUACAAAGGUGCAGUAGUCUAAAGCUCAUUCCAGAUAUGCACGGUCCCACUUGUCUCUCCAAAUUGUAUAUUAUGGACUGUCCUCAGCUAUCCAGACUACCUAAUGGACUUGAAUAUUGCACUUCCCUUAAGUUCGUGCGUAUUUCUGAUUGCCCUAAACUUAGGAGUCUGCCUAAAGGGCUACAAACUCUUGUUUCUCUUAAACAGUUGGAUAUACAGAGGUGCAGUAGUCUAGAGCUCAUUCCAGCUAUGCACGGUCACAAUUGUCUUUCCAAAUUGCAUAUUAUGGACUGUCCUCAGCUAUCCAGACUACCUAAUGGACUUGCAUACUGCACUUCCCUUAAGUCUCUGCAUAUUUCCGAUUUCCCUAAACUUAGGAGUCUGCCUGAUGGGCUACAAACUCUUGUCUCUCUUGAGGAGUUGCAUAUACAGAGGUGCAGUAGUCUAAAGCUCAUUCCAGAUAUGCACGGUUCCACUUGUCUCUCCAAAUUGUAUAUUAUGGACUGUCCUCAGCUAUCCAGACUACCUAAUGGACUUGAAUACUGCACUUCCCUUAAGUUCGUGCGUAUUUCUGAUUGCCCUAAACUUAGGAGUCGACCUGAUAGGCUACAAACUCUUGUCUCUCUUGAGGAGUUGCAUAUAAAAAAGUGCAGUAGUCUAGAGCUCAUUCCAGAUAUGCACGGUCCCACUUGUCUCUCCAAAUUGUAUAUUAUGGACUGUCCUCAGCUAUCGAGACUAGCUAAUGGACUUGAAUACUGCACUUCCCUUAAGUCUCUGCAUAUUUCUGAUUUCCCUAAACUUAGGAGUCUACCUGAUGGGCUACAAACUCUUGUCUCUCUUGAGGAGUUGCAUAUAUGGAGGUGCAGUAGUCUAGAGCUUAUUCCAGAUAUGCACGGUCUCACUUCUCUCUAUGGAUUACACAUUUAUAACUGUCCUCAGUUAUCCAGUUCACCUUAUGGACUUGAAUACUGCACUUCUCUUCAAGAGUUGGUAAUAAGCUACUGCUCCAAAAUAACAACCAUUCCAUUUGCACAGGGCCUCCCAGCUCUACGUAAAUUAGUUAUUGACCAUUGUCCUGAAUUAUCAAUUCUGCCGAGUGGGUUAGAAUAUUGUACCUCUCUUCAGGAUUUGAGAAUAUAUUGUUGCGGAAAACUAACAUCCACUGGGAUUCACAGCCUCCCACCCACCCUCCACUCUCUGGCGAUAUAUGAAUGCAGGUGUCUAGAGUCCAUUCCAACUUUACGGGGCUGCCAGUCCCUCCGUAAAUUGGAAAUUGGAGGUAGUGAUGGAGUGAUAAGCCAACUGGUAACUGAGCUGGAAUACUGUACCUCUCUUGAUUCACUGUCUAUCAUCGGUUGUGAAAAUCUGAAGCAUUUUCCAGAUGGGCUACAGCUGUCUUCUUCUCUUGUGAUACUGAAAAUAAGAAGAUGCCCAAAUCUAGAAACUACUCCAAGUGUAGAAAACCUCGCGCAUCUCCAUCUCCAAGAGUUGCAGAUGGUUAGUUGUGGUGGAUUCAAAAGCCUGCCCGGUGGAUUAAAUAGCCUCACCAGCUUGAAGAAAUUGGAUAUUGGUGGGUUUUGGAAGGAGCUCGAUUCAUUCCCUCCGUUUCAGGUUCUGCCACAACUUGAAAGCUUAGGAUUGACGGGUUGGUCUAAGCUCAAGUCUCUGCCUGAACAAGUUCAACACCUUACUUCUCUUAAAGAUUUGAGCAUAUCCGAGUUUGAAGGAAUUGAGGCUCUUCCGGAGUGGUUGGGAAACCUUGCAUCUCUUAAGUCCCUACGGAUAUGGUGCUGCAGGAAUCUUAAAUAUCUACCUACAGUUGAAGCUAUGAAAUGCCUUGCCAAAUUAGAAAACAUACGCUUUACUGAUUGUCCUCUUCUACAAGAGAACUGCAAGAGAGAUGGCACAGAAUGGCCCAAAAUCUCACAUAUUCCGUGGAUUAUAGUUCAAGGGACCAAAAUUCAGGAUCUUCGAUUUAUCUAUCGUUGACUGAGCCAUAAUUCUGGGUCAUUCACCCUUCUAAAGGUUUUCGUUGGGACAGUUUACGAGUAGCAGAAAUUCCCCAAUUGCUUGCUCAUUUUCCAUUUGGUUUCAGAUCGCUCGGCUUCUCCGUCUUCACCCAUCGUUGCAAAUUGCAUCUCGAAUGCCAUUAUGUUCCCCCAAAUGCUGCAUUUCUGCAUAUCACUCAACUCCCUCUUUCUCUCAUCAAAUCAAAAACCCAGAUCCAAUUCUCUCCCUCAUCAGACCCCAUAACAUCAUCUGAAUUACAAGAUUGGUGCGUGGGGAGUAUGCAUGUGGCAGCUCCAAGGAUUUGAAGACCCAGAGAAGAAAAAGGAGGAGGAAGAAAAGGCAAGAGAGAAGGAACUGAAAAGCAGAAAGCUUUAGAGGAUGACGGAUUGGGUUCCAAAGCUCCGACGAUUCUGACUGAGAAAGAGUUCAAUAACAACAAGAGGGCAUGCAGGGAGCAUAUGGUGGUUCUUGCAUAUAUAUUCUCCUUGAGAAGGCAGACAUGACCGUGACAUUUGGAACACAUUUAUACUCAUGAGGCAUUGGGUUAUUGGUGCAGAGCUUGAAGGAAGUUGUGGAUAACUGCACUGAGGUUCUCACUAUGAAAAAAUUUGUCAAGGAUUCUUCAUUUAAAUUUCAAGGGUUUAGGUCAAUAUUUUCAUUUGAAUUUCUGGGUUCUUUUGAUGUGAAGAUUAGUGAAGUAAGGGAUGGGUUUUCAAGAAGCACUAAGCGCUCGAAAGUUUCUCCCACAAUUUUUCCAGCCUUAACUUCUUUGCAGGGCUUUGGCAUUCUCUCAUUCAAGCAUCAAAGAGGCUUUUGGCUGAUACGAGGGCUUUAAAACGAAGUUUCAAGUGUUUCUGAAUUCAGGACAACAUUCUCUACACGUCAAGGAUCAAUUUGUGAAAGAACUUAGCAUAGCAUAGGCAUUAUCAAUUUAUCAGCUGAAGUAUUGUAGCUAUAUGCACGACUCCAACAAGUCACCCAGUCAUACAAUGGGCUUGCACGUCUUGAGAUUAUGGGACAGGAUAUUUUGCAACUUUUGUAUUAGGGGAUUUUGGUCGCUUGUAUUGACAAAUUAGUACUGCUGUUUACUACAAUGCAACUUUUAGCCAUCAAAAGGAUAUUCUCGGAUAGCAACAGUCUGAUAUCUUUAGGAUGAUAUGAGACUGACAAACCAGGUCAGAUUUGAGGGGAUUGGGUCAAUGUUGAAUGGAUUCUUCAAGGGAGUCCAAGCAAAUGUUCAAGAUUAGAAGCAUUCUAGGCGAGUAUUAAGAUGUCCUACAAGAAGCUUUAUUGAUAGAGUGGAAGCAUUCUUUUGAACAGGACACCGUAUAUUCAUCUUACUACAAGUACUAUACGAUGCAGCAAGGUGGUAUUGUAUAACAUAGUUGCAGGCCCCGCUAAAAAGAACAUCUUGUAAAUUGACAAGUGCAUCAGCAUGCAUUGUCUUUUCCGGUCAGGAAGCGAUUAAAUCAAAGUCGCAGAUUUCCAUUGCCAAGCAUAUGUUGUCCUGGAGACAUUCAGUUGCCGCAAUUUUCCAACAGACUUGAAGCUUUUCAAUGAGUUUCGAAGUCCUGAAUUUCAAAGGGGCACUGCAGUUGAUAAAUGACUGGCUAGGGUUACUAGUUUUUCAUUUGGCUAGAGUCUCUGGAUGUAGAAUGAUGGCACGCUUCAAGUGAAAUGACAAUAUUUAUUCAUCAAAGCUAGUAGAUCGGAUGUUGCUCAGUUGGUAUGAUGAGUUGAUAUAUGCAUAAUUCAAGUAAAGAGCAUUGACAUGCAGCUAAGUGGACAUUGAGUUAUCUCCAUGAUAUUAGAGAUGUUGGUUUAUGCUUUGAGAGGGAUGACUCUGGUAUUGGCAACUUUACAAUUGGUUACGUUGAUUCAGAUCAUGCAGGUGACUUGGAUCAAAGGCAGUCUACUAUAGGCUAUCUGUACUAUGCUAAAGGGCCAGUUUGUUGGAGGUCCAUUUUGCAGUGGUUUGUUGCCUUAUUUACUGUAGAGGUUGAAUAUAUGGCAGUUGUGGAAGCUAUAAAGGGUGUCAUUUGGAUGCAUGAACUUAUUAGAGAUUUAGGGGUUGAUCAGAAGCAAUUGGAGGUGCAUUGUGAUAGUUAGAGCACCAUUUAUUUGGCUAAGCAUCAAGUUCAUUAUGCGAGGACUAAUCACAUAGAUGUGCAUUAUUACUUGUGCGUGAAGUUGGUGAAAUCUCCAAAAGAUUCCAACAAAAUACAACCCUUGUUGAAAUGUUGACUGAGGUUGUUGGUGUAGCUAAGUUUGUUCAAGCGUUGUUCAUUGCUUGAACUUGGCUCACAGUUUGCAUAUAUAAAGAAAAUGUUGGGCAGUAGGAGUUUGGAGCAUUUGGCUUUGUAUAGAGAGGAAAUUAGUCUCUAUAUUUUCUUUUCUAUUUGUUUCUUUGGUGUGUAAGAGCUAUUGGGUAUAUUGGGGUAUUGAGUAGUGAGAUUGCCAGACACUUUGUAAAUACUCCAUUUGAUUGAUAGUGGAUUAUUGGGUGAGCUCCUACAGCUCCGAGGACGUACUCCAGUUACACUGACUGUUGAGGAACCUCGUUAAA